ensembl:snRNA U6 U6 spliceosomal RNA
GUGCUCACUUUGGCAGCACAUAUACUAAAAUUAGAAUGAUACAGAGAAUAUUAGCAUGGCUGCUGCGCAAGGAUGACAUGCAAAUUUGUGAGGCGUUCUAUAUUUUU